CCCUGAACUUUCAUUCGCCGUCACAGAUUAUACCAACUCCUCCAAAGUGCCUGUCUGUGGUUCUCCAGUUCCUGAACCCGCCGUCCUCCACUCAACACCAAAACGGUGAAUUUAUGGGAAUAACUCAUCUCUUCCUAGAUGAAAAGGAUUCCAUGAUUCAUGGGUUCAUUCCCGCUGGUUGUGCCAAUCACUGCCAGAUUUGAUUGCUGGUUCAGAUUUGAUAAAAUUAAAUGGAUUUAGAAGAUUUGGUGGGGUUUUGAAGAUUUUGUUUCAUCCGAGGAAGAUAUUAUUUUUGAGAAGGAAAUAUCAGUUGAGAUUGGACAUGGGAGUGUGCUAAUGAAGAAUCCACCUUCCUUUGCUCGGGAAGAGGUGACUAAAACCAGCUCACUCUCUUCAGUUUGAAAACAAGUCAUUCAUCAGUGAAUCAGUGAUGCGUACUCACAUUCCUUGAAGCGUGUUGAUAUUGGAGCAAUAAGAGAGAUUCAGAGUAUGUUGGAAAAGCAAUAAAGAAAGAGCAACUCAAGAGGAGGACCAAGACUAAAACUGGAAGAGUGCUUGUCCUUGGGAGCCAUAAUCAGUAGCGGCCAGGACUUUCAGUGGGCUGGAAGCAAAAAUUGUAUUUUGGGCCACUAAAAGUUAUUUUAAUUAAAAGUAGAAAAUGGAGGCUAUAUUAAUCGGACCUGUCACCUGAAAAUAAUAUGAAGAGUACUUACCAGUCAAUCUAGUCUAACUUUCAC